CUAACCUUACUUUGUGUCUCUUGUCUAUUUACCAUAUAUGCGUUUUUGAUGAUUGAAAAAUAACAUUAAAUGUAGAAAUGAACACAGCUGCAUUUAUCUCUUGCCUGAACUGAGCACUUCCAUCACAGCUCCCUGACCAGUUUGAGAGUGAAACCCAUAAUAUAGCAUAGGUGAAGAGUAUUAAAGGACCGCUAUAGGCACCCAGACCACUUCAGCUUAAUGAGGUGGUCUGGGUGCCAGGUACAGCUAGGGUUAACCCUGCCUGCUGUAAACAUAGCAGUUUCAGAGAAUGUGCUAUGUUUACAUUAGGGUUAAUCCAGCCUCUAGUAGCUGUCUCGUUGAUUUUCACAGUGAGAAAACGCCAGCAUCCAUAGGAAAGCAUUGAGAAUGGUAUCCUAUGAGACUGGCUGAAUGCGCAUGUGGCUCUUGCCGCGCAUGCGCUUUCAGCCGAUGACGGCGAAAGGAGGAGGAGAGUCCCCAGCGCCGAGGGAGCCUGGCGCUGGAAAAAAGGUAAGGGAUUAACCUUACCUUGAGGGUGAGGGGGACCCAAGGACCCUAUAGAACCAGGAAAACAAGUAUGUUUUCCUGGCACUAUAGUGGUCUUUUAAUGCAGCACUGUCACACCAUACUUAUCUUUUCCC